GAUGAAGAACGUAGUGAAAUGCGAUAAGUAAUGUGAAUUGCAGAAUUCAGUGAAUCAUCGAAUCUUUGAACGCACAUUGCGCCCCUUGGUAUUCCGAGGGGCAUGCCUAUUCGAGCGUCAUUAUCACCCCUCAAGCCUAGCUUGGUGUUGAGACCUGCUGUCAAGGCAGUCUCUAAAAUCAGUAGCAGUGCUGUCAGGCUCUAAGCGUAGUAAAUUCAUCGCUAUAGACACCUGGUGGCCACUCGCCAGAACCCCCCCAUUUUUUAAUGAUUGACCUCGGAUUAGGUAGGGAUACCCGCUGAACUUAAGCAUAUCAAUAAGCGGAGGA
rnacentral:misc_RNA from 1 species